GGUGUAGUAUUCUUGAGGUUAUGACUGAGCUGCACUCAAUAGAAGGAGUUCAUAUUGGUGAUGAUUUUCAUGCGUAUGCUACUGAGUUCUUGGGUAUGAGAAGGAAUAGAGAAAUGUGGUUUAGUAUGGGUAGUCUUGAAAACAAGAUGAAAUGGUUGCAGAAAAUGUUUACACGGCGUGAGGUACCAUAGACGGGGAGAGAUCUGAAGAUGAUAAUCGGCCAGAAUUGUUCGGGACCUUAUUUCUAAUUUUAACAAUUCUCAUCUGACAUGAAGAGGUUGUGUGCAAGUUUUAUUUUUCGGUUAUGGGCAUUAAUAUUUGUUAUUUUCAUGCAAACAAAUUAUAUAUUAAAAUAUCAAAAAGUUGUAGUGUUAUUCGAUACGCGCUACGUAUUAUGAAUUGCAAUCCUGAAAGUUUCUAUGUAUUUGUAAUGUAAUAUGAUGUGGACAAUGCUUUUAUA